UGCCUGAGAUUCCAUUGUGAUGUUAGAAUUCACAUUCUCAUUCUUAUUCAAUAGAACUGACUCGUUCACCAGAGCACCUAUUAUGUUCCAGGUGGUAUUAUAAGAACUUGGGAGACAUCACCAAACAAAAUAGAAAAAUCCCUGCCCUUAUGGAGCUGACAUUCUAGUGGGGGCUUGGUUUUUCUCCUUGGGUACUGGGUUUGUUUUUCCAUGAUGAGCAUAUCCUAUGAUGCACUAUAGCACUCAAGCAAGAUGUCUGAAGCAAAGGAGGCCAAAGUAAUAAUUCAUGGAUUCAGCACACUUUCCUUUGUUGAAAAGUGCUGCUUGUUACCCCUCAAAGCUAUGUGAGAGGCUGUGUAGGAGAGAGUGGAGAGCAGGUAGCCUACUGGACCUACAGUUCACCAUUUCAGCCCUGUAAUUGACCAGCUGUGGGACCUCAGAUGCUGAAAGCAAAGUUCAUGUGGGAAAUGUUUGGCAAUAGCUGAUUUAUCCUCAGGAUGCAAAGUCCUGUCCAUUUGCUUCCAUGAACUCUGUACUUAUCGAUGAUAUAAUACUCUGCUGACUACAUUUUACUUGCCGCUUCAUAUCCUCACUAGACUGAAAGACCUAUAAGGGAAGAGAUAUCUUAUUUAUAUAUCUUUCUUAUAUAUCUUUCCCAUAUAUCCUACUUACUGUUGUACUUACAACUCCUACAACCGUGCUUGGUACAUAGGAUGUUGAAAAAGUAUUUAUGAAAUUAUGAAUAACACUGAUUCUAUUAAAUAACAUUAUUAAGUUAAUGAACAAAUAAUUAAGUUUAGUAAAAUAUCAAAAGUUAAAGAUAUCAAAAACUAAACACUUAUAGAAUAAAAGUUUGCUUUUCUUGUCUAGUGAGCACAUUAAUACAGAUUUUAACCCUCUUUUGUCCUCUCCUGACUCACACGAAAAAAUACAUAGGCCUCAGCUGUUCAUUGGUGCCAGAUAAAAAUAAAGUACUUUUUAAUUGUAAUUACUGCAAACGCUCUUCAACAGUGCACAGUAUACCAGGAACUGAAACUUUUCUUAUAAAACAAAAUAAAUAUCAGUAGAAACAGAGCAAAGGCAUUUCAUUAAGUAUUAUGGACUGAAUUGCAUUCCCUGUAAAUACAUGUGUUAAAGUCUGAACUCUCAGUACACCUCAGAAUAUGACUGUAUUUAGAAAUAGGGCCUUUAAAGAGGUAGUUAAGGUUAAAUGAGAUCAUGUGGAUUGGUCUUAAUCUAAGAUGACUGGUGUCACUAUAAGAAGAGGAGAAGACACCAGAGAUGCAACUGCACAGAGAAAAGGUCAUGUGAGCAGGGAUCCCCAAACCCUGAGCCAAGAACUGACAGUGGUCCAUGGCUUGUUAGGAACCAUGCCACACAACAGGAGGUGAGCCAAAGGCAAGGGAGCAAAGCUUCAUCUGUAUUUUUAGCCGCUCCCCAUUGCUCACAUUACCUCCUGAGCUCUGCCUCCUGUCGGAUCAGUGGUGGCAUUAGAUUCUCAUAGGAGUGCACACCCUAUUGUGAACUGCGCAUGAGAGGGAUCUAGAUUGCAUGCUCCUUAUAAAGUCUAAUGCCUGAUGAUCUGAGGUGGAGCUGAGGUGGUGAUGCUAGCUCUGAGGAGUGGUUGCAAACACAGAUUAACAUUAGCAGAGACAUUUGACUGCCCAGAGACCAUAAUAAAUCAGUUGCCUGCAGAUGCAUAUCAAAACCCUGUCAGUGAGUGGCAGCUGAUAAUUCAGCUGCAUCUGGGGGCUGGCUUUAUAGUGGCAAGUGAGUUGAUGUACUUCAACUGUACAGCUGCAUCUGGUUGCUGGCUUUAUAGUGGCAAGUGAGUUGAUGUACUUCAACUGUACAGCUGCAUCUGGUGGCAGGCUUUAAGUCAGAAUCUGACACUUAUUUUAGUCCAUGUGUGUCCUGCCCAUUAUUUUAUUUGUCACUUCCAUCCGCACCUCUUUCCUGCACUGCACACUUGUCUCAAUCAGUUUUGGUAAGCCCACAAGCUAACCCUAGCCAAAAUGAAUAAAAACAAUCAUCACUGGAGAGUUUCUUUGAAAAGGGGGAAAGAACCAAUGAUGAGACAGCAGAAGACUCUAAGACUGCCAACAAAAAGAAAGCUGCAUUUAAAAGAAAAUACUGGCCGGGCGCGGUGGCUCAUGCCUGUAAUCCCAGCACUUUGGGAGGCCGAGGCGGGCGGAUCACGAGGUCAGGAGAUUGAGACCAUCCUGGCUAACAUGGUGAAACCCCGUCUCUACUAAAAAUACAAAAAAUUAGCUGGGCAUGGUGGCAGGUGUCUGUAGUCCCAGAUACUCGGGAGGCUGAAGCAGGAGAAUGGCGUGAACCUGAGAGGCAGAGCUUCCAGUGAGCCGAGAUCGUGCCACUGCACUCCAGCCUGGGUGACAGAGCGAGACUCCAUCUCAAAAAAAAAAAAAAAAAAAGAAAAUACCAUGAGUCCUACUUAAAUUACAGGGUCAUUGCACCAGAUAAUUCACAUUCUCCAAGCCCUCUUUGUAUAAUAUGUGGUGGUUGGCUAUGCAAUGAAGCCAUGAAA